rnacentral:rRNA from 1 species
GGCUACGAGGACGAACGCUGGCGGCGUGCUUAAUACAUGCAAGUCAACGACUUUUAGAGUAGCAAUAUUCUAAAGGAAGUGGCGCACGGGUGAGUAACACGUAGGUAAUCUGCCUUCAGGACUGACACAACUCGUCGAAAGACGGGCUAAUAUCAGAUAAUGCAGCGGCUCCGCAUGGAGACAGUUGUUAAAGUACAAGCGCCUGAAGAUGAGCCUGCGGUCCAUUAGCUAGUUGGUAGAGUAAAAGCCUACCAAGGCAACGAUGGAUAGCUGGUCUGAGAGGAUGAUCAGCCACACUGGAACUGAGACACGGCCCAGACUCCUACGGGAGGCAGCAGUAAGGAAUAUUGCUCAAUGGCCGAAAGGCUGAAGCAACAACGCCGCGUGAAGGAUGAAUGGCCUUUGGCCUGUAAACUUCUGUAAAAAGGGAAAAACAGUCAGGUAUAUCCUGAUUUGAUUGUACCUUUGAAGUAAGCCCCGGCUAACUACGUG